rnacentral:rRNA from 1 species
UACGGAGGGGGCGAGCGUUAUUCGGAAUUAUUGGGCGUAAAGGGCGCGUAGGCGGCUGGGCAAGUCAAAGGUGAAAUCCCUCGGCUCAACUGAGGAACUGCCUUUGAAACUGCCUGGCUUGAGGCCGGGAGGGGGUAGCGGAAUUCCCAGUGUAGCGGUGAAAUGCGUAGAUAUUGGGAGGAACACCAGUGGCGAAGGCGGCUACCUGGACCGGUUCUGACGCUGAUGCGCGAAAGCAUGGGGAGCAAACAGG